rnacentral:lncRNA from 1 species
CUGGCGGGGUAUGGGCCCUCGUAGGUCGCCGGACGUCCGGUCACGUGACGGCCGUGGAUGCCACAGUAGGCCGCGCUGCAAAACGCUGCAUACGGCAA